CGACACACUAUCGUUAACUGAAUACAUAGGUUAACGAGGCGAACCGGGGGAACUGAAACAUCUAAGUACCCCGAGGAAAAGAAAUCAACCGAGAUUCCCCCAGUAGCGGCGAGCGAACGGGGAGCAGCCCGGAGUCUGAAUCAGCUUGUGUGUUAGUGGAACGGUCUGGAAAGUCCGACGGUACAGGGUGAUAGUCCCGUACACGAAAACACACUUGCUGUGAACUCGAAGAGUAGGGCGGGACACGUGGUAUCCUGUCUGAAUAUGGGGGGACCAUCCUCCAAGGCUAAAUACUCCUGACUGACCGAUAGUGAACCAGUACCGUGAGGGAAAGGCGAAAAGAACCCCGGCGAGGGGAGUGAAAAAGAACCUGAAACCGUGUACGUACAAGCAGUGGGAGCACCUUCGUGGUGUGACUGCGUACCUUUUGUAUAAUGGGUCAGCGACUUAUAUUCUGUAGCAAGGUUAACCGUAUAGGGGAGCCGAAGGGAAACCGAGUCUUAACUGGGCGUUAAGUUGCAGGGUAUAGACCCGAAACCCGGUGAUCUAGCCAUGGGCAGGUUGAAGGUUGGGUAACACUAACUGGAGGACCGAACCGACUAAUGUUGAAAAAUUAGCGGAUGACCUGUGGCUGGGGGUGAAAGGCCAAUCAAACCGGGAGAUAGCUGGUUCUCCCCGAAAGCUAUUUAGGUAGCGCCUCGUGAACUCAUCUUCGGGGGUAGAGCACUGUUUCGGCUAGGGGGCCAUCCCGGCUUACCAACCCGAUGCAAACUACGAAUACCGAAGAAUGUUAUCACGGGAGACACACGGCGGGUGCUAACGUCCGUCGUGAAGAGGGAAACAACCCAGACCGCCAGCUAAGGUCCCAAAGUCAUGGUUAAGUGGGAAACGAUGUGGGAAGGCACAGACAGCCAGGAUGUUGGCUUAGAAGCAGCCAUCAUUUAAAGAAAGCGUAAUAGCUCACUGGUCGAGUCGGCCUGCGCGGAAGAUGUAACGGGGCUAAACCAUGCACCGAAGCUGCGGCAGCGACACU
rnacentral:rRNA from 1 species